rnacentral:rRNA from 1 species
UACGGAGGGUGCGAGCGUUGUCCGGAAUCACUGGGCGUAAAGGGCGCGUAGGCGGCGCGGGGAGUCAACGGUGAAAGCUCGGCGCUCAACGCCGAGUCGGCCGUCGAUACUCCCGUGCUCGAGCACUGUAGAGGCAGGUGGAAUUCCGGGUGUAGCGGUGGAAUGGCGUAGAGAUCCGGAAGAACACCGGUGGCGAGGCGGCCUGACUGGGCAGUGCUAGACGCUGAGGCGCGACAGCGUGGG